rnacentral:misc_RNA from 1 species
AAGUCGUAACAAGGUUUUCCGUAGGUGAACCUGCGGAAGGAUCAUUAACAUGUAUUAGUUCGCAAUCUCUGGUAAAUCAUAGCCCGGAAAGUAGUUUUGAUUCAGAGACCUCUGGCUACGUGAGAACAUUGGAACAGUUACAAUCGAGCGGUAGUUAUAGGCAUUGUUUCCCCAGUGUCUGAAAGUGUCGCAAGGAUAGCGCUUCAACGAUUUCUGUAGACCGUACACUCGGGCAGGAGCUAUGCCAAAGGGUCCCCAUGCCCUUUUAACCCCACAGUUUAAUGUGAAGCUCCAUGUAAUACAUUGGGGAAAAAAACUGAACAACUGUUAACAAUAAAUAUCUUGGUUCUC